AGGAACUCUAAAGGUACGAGGCCAUUAGAUAUUAAAUCCCUUGGGUACAUAUUAUGUAUUUGUAUUCAUCGGUCGACAAACGAUCGUAUAGUUGUGGGUACUCUGUGGUCGUCGACUCAGUGACAUUCCGGCAGCGGGAGCGAUCGAGUGCAUUUCAUCACUACAAUAAACUGUUUAUAAUUCAACCAAGUGCAUAAUUAAACCAACUCAAAAUGGCACUUCCAUUCCCGUAUGAGAUCAAGGACGUCACUGAAGAAGAGGACAAAGUUAUAAAGAAGUAUUACAAACAGUACACGAGGCCAUUCAUCCGAAUUGGUCCACAUGGAUACAUUUUAAACGCAGGCUACGCAGACCAUGCUUCCGAGAUUUACAACUUCGAAGUGAGGCCUGAUGAUGUAUGGGUUACCACCUUCUCUAG